rnacentral:rRNA from 1 species
GCGGGGUGCUAUACUGCAAGUCGAACGCUUCUUUUUCCACCGGAGCUUGCUCCACCGGAAAAAGAGGAGUGGCGAACGGGUGAGUAACACGUGGGUAACCUGCCCAUCAGAAGGGGAUAACACUUGGAAACAGGUGCUAAUACCGUAUAACAAUCGAAACCGCAUGGUUUUGAUUUGAAAGGCGCUUUCGGGUGUCGCUGAUGGAUGGACCCGCGGUGCAUUAGCUAGUUGGUGAGGUAACGGCUCACCAAGGCGACGAUGCAUAGCCGACCUGAGAGGGUGAUCGGCCACAUUGGGACUGAGACACGGCCCAAACUCCUACGGGAGGCAGCAGUAGGGAAUCUUCGGCAAUGGACGAAAGUCUGACCGAGCAACGCCGCGUGAGUGAAGAAGGUUUUCGGAUCGUAAAACUCUGUUGUUAGAGAAGAACAAGGAUGAGAGUAACUGUUCAUCCCUUGACGGUAUCUAACCAGAAAGCCACGGCUAACUACGUGCCAGCAGCCGCGGUAAUACGUAGGUGGCAAGCGUUGUCCGGAUUUAUUGGGCGUAAAGCGAGCGCAGGCGGUUUCUUAAGUCUGAUGUGAAAGCCCCCGGCUCAACCGGGGAGGGUCAUUGGAAACUGGGAGACUUGAGUGCAGAAGAGGAGAGUGGAAUUCCAUGUGUAGCGGUGAAAUGCGUAGAUAUAUGGAGGAACACCAGUGGCGAAGGCGGCUCUCUGGUCUGUAACUGACGCUGAGGCUCGAAAGCGUGGGGAGCAAACAGGAUUAGAUACCCUGGUAGUCCACGCCGUAAACGAUGAGUGCUAAGUGUUGGAGGGUUUCCGCCCUUCAGUGCUGCAGCUAACGCAUUAAGCACUCCGCCUGGGGAGUACGACCGCAAGGUUGAAACUCAAAGGAAUUGACGGGGGCCCGCACAAGCGGUGGAGCAUGUGGUUUAAUUCGAAGCAACGCGAAGAACCUUACCAGGUCUUGACAUCCUUUGACCACUCUAGAGAUAGAGCUUCCCCUUCGGGGGCAAAGUGACAGGUGGGUGCAUGGGUUGUCGUCAGCUCGUGUCGUGAGAUGUUGGGGUUUAAGUCCCGCAACGAGGCGCAAUCCAUAUGGUAGGUGCAUUCAUUUAGUUGGG